GCUUGUCUCAAAGAUUAAGCCAUGCAUGUCUAAGUAUGAACAACUUUAUACUGUGAAACUGCGAAUGGCUCAUUAAAUCAGCUAUUGUUUAUUUGAUAGUACCUCACUACUUGGAUAACUGAGGUAAUUCUUGAGCUAAUACAUGCGAAAAAUCUCGACUCACGGAGAGAUGCUUUUAUUAGAUCAAAACCAAACGGCUUCGGCCGUCUCAUUGGUGACUCUGAAUAACUUUGGGCUGAUCGUAUGGCCUUGUGCCGACGACGUUUCCUUCGAAGGUGUGCCCUAUCAACUGUCGACUGUGAUAUAGACGCUCACAGUGGUUUUGACGGGUAACGGGGAAUCAGGGUUCGAUUCCGGAGAGGGAGCCU
rnacentral:rRNA from 1 species